rnacentral:rRNA from 1 species
GACGAACGCUGGCGGCGUGCUUAACGCAUGCAAGUCGAACGGAAAGGCCCUGCUUUUGUGGGGUGCUCGAGUGGCGAACGGGUGAGUAACACGUGAGUAACCUGCCCUUGACUUUGGGAUAACUUCAGGAAACUGGGGCUAAUACCGGAUAGGAGCUCCUGCUGCAUGGUGGGGGUUGGAAAGUUUCGGCGGUUGGGGAUGGACUCGCGGCUUAUCAGCUUGUUGGUGGGGUAGUGGCUUACCAAGGCUUUGACGGGUAGCCGGCCUGAGAGGGUGACCGGCAACAUGGGGACUGAGAUACGGCCCAGACUCCUACGGGAGGCAGCAGUGGGGAAUAUUGCACAAUGGGCGGAAGCCUGAUGCAGAAAAGCGGCGUGCGGGAUGACGGCCUUCGGGUUGUAAACAGAUUUCGCAUGUGACGAAGCGUGAGUGACGGUAAUGGGUAAAGAAGCACCGGCUAACUACGUG